rnacentral:lncRNA from 1 species
CUAUUCUCUCAAUCUUGAUGUUUUUGUCUUGAAGGCUUUUGUUCCAGCCACCUGUUUGUAUGUGAAUAGAGCAGACAUGGGUAUAUCACGAGGAUGACUGACAGAUGGAAUUACCUUUGAAAGAAUAUCAAGCUGGACUUCUUCGACUGGAUGUUUCACAUCAGACUUUCAGAUCAGUCUUUAGUGUAUUUCUUAAGAUGUGCGGAUACUUUGCAUUACUAAAGGAUAUUGUCAAGGGGCUGAAUGAAGUGCAGACCCACUAACUUUUGGAAAUCCCAUCCGUCUCACGGUCAAUCCAAAAGAUGCAGCGCCAACUCCUCCGUUUCUGUCCAUCUUGUCCCCUUUCAAUGGCAAAGGACCAGAUAUUUGUCUGGCCGCCGGGUUCUUUCCUCAAGAAAAGACUAUGACUUUGAAUGUGAAAGGGAAAGAACCUGAGAAUUUUACCACCAGCAAUGCACCUUUGUUCAAAUCGUCCAAAACCUAUUAUUAUGCUGGAUCCCCUGAUGAUGAAAUCCAAAAAUGCCAAAUGGAUGAAGAAACUGCAGACAAAACUCCUGACACUCCUGUCACGACAGAUAAACCCGAAAAACUGACUCCACAGUCUUGUGAAACAAAUGCUAGAACUUCUGCCUCAGGGUUCAUAGACACUGGUGAUCCAAAAAUGAACUUCAUGAAUCUUCUUGUGACAGGUCUGAGAAUUCUGCUUGCUAAAUGUGUUGCAGUUAAUGUAAUGAUGACUGUAAAGGCAUUCGUAUUUUAAAAGUUCAAUCCAGCCAAAUCAUCUGAAUAAUCUCAAUUUUGAACUGGAGCUUGAUCGAACCCUGACAAACAAACAAAUGCGGUUAUACAGUCAGUCACAGGGUCAGUAUUAAUCUAUAUUCUGUCUAAUAAUGUUAAAUGGAAUGAAAAAUACAAAUUGUUAGUAAUGUCUUUCAUAUAUAAAGAAUAUCGACAAACAUUGCAAACCUUUUUGACAUUUAGAAACAUUUCUGAAUUCAGUGGUGUAAUGUGCGUAUUGCUUUGCAAUGGUGUGUGUAUUUUCUGGCUUUAGUUGCAAACAGGUGCAAGUAAAUUUUUUGUAUACUUUUAAAUUUUUUACUUUUUUAAUUUUUUUACAUAACAGCAUUGCAUUGUUUAAGACUUUUACAUUGUCUAAUUGUGUAACGGAUUACCAUUUGACUUAACUAUUGAGGCUCUGA